rnacentral:lncRNA from 1 species
AUAAUAAUAAUAAUGAUAAUAAUAAUAAUAAUAAUUUAUAAUAAUCAUUAGAAAAAGCUCGUUAAGGCCCAGCCAGCCCCUCCCCCAACCCAAAAAUGACCAGAAAAGGAGUUUUUUUCCCAAAAAAACCUUUAAUAAAUACAAGGAGGGGAAGCUCCCAGUGCUCCCAGUGCUCCCAGUAAGGGCUCGGGGCUCCCAGUUCCAUUUUGGGGAGAAAAGGGGGAUUUUGAGGGGAGAAAAGGGCGGGAAAACGUGAGGGGAAAAAGGGCGGGAAAACAUGAGGGGAGAAAAGGGCGGGAAAACGUGAGGGGAGAAAAGGGCGGGAAAACGUGAGGGGAAAAAGGCGGGAAAACGUGAGGGGAGAAAAGGGCGGGAAAACGUGAGGGGAAAAAGGCGGGAAAAUGCCGGAAAAGGCCAAGAAAAAGCCAGAAAAGGCUGGAAAAUGCCGGAAAAUGCUGGAAAAAGGUCAGGAAGAUGCCAGAAAAGGCCCAGAAAAUGCUAGAAAAGGCCGGAAAAAGCCAGAAAAGGCCACAAGGGUGAGGGGAAAAGGCCCGGAAAAGGCAAGAAAAGGGCAAUAAAAGGUCAGGAAAAGGCCGGAAAACUCCGGAAAAGGCCAGAAAAUGCUGGGAAAAGACCAGAAAAUGCUGGAAAAAGGCAAUAAAAGGUCAAGAAAAGUCUGGAAAAGUCCAGAAAAAUCAGGAAAAGGCCGGAAAAAGGCAAUAAAAAGUCAGGAAAAGUCUGGAAAAGUCCAGAAAAAGUCAGGAAAAGGCCAAAAAAGGCCGGAAAAAGGCAAUAAAAGGCCUGGAAAAGGCUGGAAAAGGCCAGAAAAUGCUGGGAAAAGGCAAUAAAAGGCUGGUAAAGGUCAGGAAAAUUCCGGAAAGGUCCGGCGAAGGCUCCGGCGUCAGAAGGCGGCGGCGCCGCGCGUCAGCGUCAGCACGGCGUCCAUCCAGAUGCGCAGCGCCUCGGCGCUCGGCGCCACCAGCCAGAACAGGCGCUCGUAGGUCUUGAGGCAGAAGGUGAGGCGCGGGUUGGGG